GAUGAACGCUGGCGGCGUGCUUAACACAUGCAAGUCGAACGGAAAGGCUCCUGCUUGCAGGGGUACUCGAGUGGCGAACGGGUGAGUAACACGUGGGUGAUCUGCCCUGCACUUCGGGAUAAGCCUGGGAAACUGGGUCUAAUACCGGAUAGGACCACAUUUUGGAUGGUGUGGUGGAAAGUUUUUCGGUGUGGGAUGAGCUCGCGGCCCAUCAGCUUGUUGGUGGGGUAAUGGCCCACCAAGGCGUCGACGGGUAGCCGGCCUGAGAGGGUGUACGGCCACAUUGGGACUGAGAUACGGCCCAGACUCCUACGGGAGGCAGCAGUGGGGAAUAUUGCACAAUGGGCGCAAGCCUGAUGCAGCGACGCCGCGUGGGGGAUGACGGCCUUCGGGUUGUAAACUCCUUUCGCUAGGGACGAAGCGCAAGUGACGGUACCUGGAGAAGAAGCACCGGCUAACUACGUG
rnacentral:rRNA from 1 species